rnacentral:tRNA from 2 species
AGGAAAAUAGUUCAGCCGGUAGAACAGUGGUUUCCAAAACCAAAAGUCAAGGGUUCAAGUCCUUUUUUUCCUG